GUGCAGCAUCAGAGGUCACAUCUCCAGACUCAGGAUGAUGAACACACUCACUCUUCUGCUGGUUGCUCUCUCUCUGUCCUGUUGUACAGGUCAGAGUAUGGAGUCCAUUCCUUCCAGUUCAGUAGUGAAGAGGCCUGGGGAGACUCUCAGUCUCUCCUGCAGAGGAUCUGGCUUCACAUUUAGCUGUUGCACUAUGAACUGGAUCAGACAACCUGCGGGAAAAGCACUGGAGUGGAUAGGAGUUGGCUUCUCUUCUGCCAGUAGAAACACUUAUGCCAGCAGUGUGAGAGGACGUGCAGAAAUCAGUAGAGAUGACAGCAACAGCAUGGUGCAUCUGAGACUGUCCAACUUGAAGCCAGAGGACUCUGCUGUGUAUUACUGUGCCAAAGAAACACACUGGUUAAAGUGAGCAGAGAGGCUGUACAAAAACUCUCCAGAAAUGUGUGACAGAGACCUGCAGGGGGCAGUAAAACAUAUUAAUUGGGAUAACAACAACCAAAAGAUCAGGACAAUGACAAUAAAUAUGCACAGGAGCAGCUGCUGUUACAGUUUGUCACUUCCUGCUGAAUUCUUUUUUCUCAACAAUAAUAGUUACUAAACUUUUCAAUAAUGAUUUUUACAGCAGUUGUCCAAUUAACCACCAGCAACAUGACGUUCGUGUGAUCAGUUUUUUAAAAUGGUGAAUUUUAACAUGUUUUCAGUGUUUUUUCUGAUUCCGAAGUUUUUGAUUAUCUUAUCUUGCUAUUUAUUAAUUUUAUGCUUUCAAAUGCAGUCAGGGCAAUGGACAAAUUGCACCACUUUUUG